rnacentral:rRNA from 1 species
UACGUAGGAGGCAAGCGUUAUCCGGAAUGACUGGGCGUAAAGGGUGCGUAGGUGGUUUGACAAGUUGGUAGCGUAACUCCGGGGCUCAACCUCGGCACUACUACCAAAACUGCCAAACUUGAGUGCAGGAGGGGCAACUGGAAUUCCUAGUGUAGCGGUGGAAUGCGUAGAUAUUAGGAGGAACACCAGUGGCGAAGGCGAGUUGCUGGACUGUAACUGACACUGAGGCACGAAAGCGUGGGGAGCAAACAGG